GUGGAGAGAAGGAGAGGUGGAGAUGGAGAGGAGGAGCGCGCGUCUGCAGGCGAGUGGCACAGCGACGUCUCCAAUUAUUACGCGCUGCGCAUGAGGAGGACGCGCGGAGCUGCGGAGGGUUUGUCCACUCGCGGUUCCACUGCUGCGCCCCCGCUCGGAGCUUUACGGUAGUGGUGCUGAUGCGGGAUGAGUCAGGCGAUGUGAUGAUGAUGAUGAUGAUGCUGCCGCUGCCAUUUCAUCAGCAGCUCGAGCCCACAGAGCGCAGACGGACGGACGCGACACCGCGGGGUUCCCCUCCCGUCCUGCCGUCGUAGAGCUCCAUCCAUCCGGCCGGUAGGAAGCGCACAUCCUCGGGGGCGUUGUUCUGUUGGCACCUGCUCCGGGAGCGGCUCUUCUCCUCCGCCUCGACCGGGCCUGACGCGGCCCUGAGUCCGGGGCCUUCACACCCGAGCUCCUGAUCCGCGGUCAUCGCCGCGUCACGACGCACAUCGAGUCCCGCGGAGGCCUCGUGUUUCCUCCCGGAUCGACCCGGCUCGUCCGACCCGUCGGUGCCACGAUGGAGCCCGCGUCCGGCCGGUCCUGGGCCUAGAGAGUCCGCUCCUCCUCCUCCAGCACCGACAGGCAGACAGACAGACAGACAGACAGACAGACAGACAGACCCACCGAC